GUCUGUGGCUCAGUGGUUACAGGUGGAUCUCCAGUUCUGUGUGCUGGGCUGUGACAGGCUGGUAGAAGUGAGAAGAGCCUGUGAUCUCGGAAUCCACCAUGGAUGCAGUGACCUAUGAGGAUGUGCAUGUGAACUUCACUCAUGAAGAGUGGGCUUUGCUGGAUCCUUCCCAGAAGAGUCUCUAUAAAGAUGUAAUGCUGGAAACCUACUGGAACCUCACUUGUAUAGGAUACAAAUGGGAAGACAAAAAUAUUGAAGAACAUUAUCAAAAUUCUACAAGACUUGGAAG